AUCUUCUUGUUACAAGAACUCUGUUAAAAUUGAAAUUCCUGGGUUUCUGGGUUUAGCAAUCAUGCCAGCAGGGUACAAACUGGAAGUAGAGAAAAUGCACUUAUUCUUUUGGAUAUGGGUGGACCUCUUUCUUAAUGUCCAGUACUCAUCGUCUGAAAGAUUUUGUGCCACAGCC
rnacentral:snoRNA from 1 species